GAAAGUUUGAAACAUUAACAUUUUAAGGCCUUUUAAGCUGUAACUUUCAAAAGACACUUGUAAAUCCAACAAAUCUUGAUUCUGUAGUUAAAUGAAUCUUUAAAUGUUUUUAUUUUGAAAGUUUGAGGCCUUUAAACCUUUUUAGAUACAAAAAAUCCAAAAAGCAUGACGCUUGCAACUCCAAGGUCAUGGGUUCGAUUCCCAGAGAGUGCAUGAACUGAUUCAAAACCACUCUGCGUUUCGUGAAAGUGUCUCUCACUGAGGUUUUGAGUGAAACCAGCCCAGCUGAAUACCAUCUCGCAAGGUUCGCUCGGGGAUCCACUAAAGCAUACGGGAAUGAAGCCGAGGGUUAAAGUUCAUCUGAGACGAGAGCUUUAAAGGGGUCGACGCCGGGUACCCAAAUGACAGAGCAGAUGCAGACAGCCUGACCAUUCACCAACAUCUGGACCUCAGCCCAACAGAGAGAGAGACACAGAUGUUAAAAUUCAAAGUUCACUGGUCCAUUUUCUUUCUAAUUCUAAAUCUUCACAUUUAAUUAAGUGUGUAACUUGCUGUUUCUUUGUAAAUAAAUGUGAAAUUUACUACCAAUUUGUAAAUGAAAAUUGUUUCAAAGUAAAUCUUUCA
rnacentral:lncRNA from 1 species